rnacentral:rRNA from 1 species
AUGGCAUCAUAUAAAUAUCAAAGAUUAAUCACUUAAAGAUGGGCUCGCGUCUGAUUAGCUAGUUGGUAAGGUAACGGCCUACCAAGGCAACGAUCAGUAGCCGGACUGAGAGGUUGAACGGCCACAUUGGGACUGAGACACGGCCCAGACUCCUACGGGAGGCAGCAGUGGGGAAUAUUGCACAAUGGGCGAAAGCCUGAUGCAGCGAUGCCGCGUGAGGGAAGAAGGUUUUCGGAUUGUAAACCUCUGUCAUAAGGGACGAACACAGACGGUACCUUAGAAGGAAGCUCCGGCUAACUACGUGCCAGCAGCCGCGGUAAUACGUAGGGAGCAAGCGUUAUCCGGAAUUACUGGGUGUAAAGGGAGUGUAGGCGGGAUUACAAGUCAGAUGUGAAAACUGUGGGCUCAACUCACAGAUUGCAUUUGAAACUGUAGUUCUUGAGUGAAGUAGAGGUAAGUGGAAUUCCUAGUGUAGCGGUGAAAUGCGUAGAUAUUAGGAGGAACAUCAGUGGCC